AGAAGGAUGAGCAGGUAGCGAAGGAACUGGGAGCGUUCUCACGAGAGAUCAACACUUUAACUACGAAGCUACAGAGAGAGGAGAUUCUCGCAAAGUUGUGGAAGUCGUCUGAAGUGUGAAGCAUGCUCAUUUGUUUGUUACUAUACACGCGCUCCCAUCGGCUUUCUUUUACUUAGUUGAUUACCAGUUGAUGCUAGAUGUAAUGUGGCGGAUUGAGGCAGUAGUUGCGCAUGCGCAUGGCGCCUCUCCUGGCAGCAGUUGUAACACUGCGUUGCAUAUAAUAACAUCAUGUUAUUAUAUACAGCUCUGUGAGUAUUAGUAAACAGUGAGAGAAAAGGUAAUUAUACGAGAGAAAGACAUAUAUAUAUAGCGCCACCUAUAGGAGGUAUUUACAAUCACUGCUCGCGUCUUAGUCAAAGUGCGUAUAUUUAUCUCACUGUGAAAUCUGCUCCCUAUGCGUAGCAACAUAUAAUAUCUCUGACGUUGAUCGUAAGUAUGGGGAUAGUGCUCGGAAGAUGCAAUGGCUUACGUGCAAUUGUCAUUAUUACAAGUUAAGUAUAUAUAACACGUUUGUGCGUUGUAUCGUGUGCUUUUUAAGAGAUAAUUUUUCAAAAAUAAGAAGAAAAGAAUGUUAUCUCUGACCAUGCGGUCAAAUACAUGUUAGUGGAGACGAAA